CGUAGCGGCGGACGGGUGAGUAACGCGUGGGUAACCUGCCUCAUACAGGGGGAUAACAGUUAGAAAUGACUGCUAAUACCGCAUAAGACCACAGCACCGCAUGGUGCGGGGUAAAACGUACCGGUGGUAUGAGAUGGACCCGCGUCUGAUUAGCUAGUUGGUAAGGUAACGGCUUACCAAGGCGACGAUCAGUAGCCGACCUGAGAGGGUGACCGGCCACAUUGGGACUGAGACACGGCCCAA
rnacentral:rRNA from 1 species